rnacentral:tRNA from 1 species
ACUAAAGUAGUUUAAAAAACUCUAAUUUGUGGUAUUAAAAUUGCCAGUUAAAAUCUGGCCUAUAGUCC